AUGAAUAUUUGUGUGCGCGUGCUCAGCUGAAAGGUCCAGUAGAGGUCCACAUGAAGAAUUGCAUUGAUUGGACAGACGGGGGACAUUCUCAUUAGAAAGGCUACUUUGGAAAACACUGGUGGCAGCGAAUUGAUGAUUGAGCAGUAAGAAUUAAAAGUCCACUCAGAGGGCUGUAUUUUCCAUAUACGCCACACAGAUGUUUAUGGGCUUAAUGAAUGAACAAAUUAUCUUUAUUUACAUUGCGCUUUUUACAGCAGAGCCAUUUCUAAGACACAUUGCAAACACACCUAAAACAGGGAAUGUUCUCACCGCAACAGGCCUAUGUCAUAUGAAGAACAGACUAUGCCUCAUCCUCACUGUAAAUGUACAGUUAAGAACGUUAAACAAUACAUUACCCAUCAUUGUGGCAUGUCUUGAUAAACCUUAUAGUGAAGGUGUCAAUAAAUAAAACAAAUGAAAUAAGGUCUAAUUACAAAAUUUCUGAUCAGUGAGGAAUAGGCGUGAUUUUAAAUAUUAAUAGCUAUUUACAGACUAUGUAGGCUAAAACCCACAAGAGACUUAUUCUCCUUUACAAUAAAUCACUACAUGUUUACAAUCAGGUAGACAAACUCAUUGAGAUAUGCAAUAAUUAAGAUCGGUGUAUAUGAUGAAGUAGUGGCAUGAAAAUGUGCCAUUCCUCCCAUAAUUAUGUAAAUUCUUCUUAACUCUUUAGCAGUGUAGCGACUUGUCUGUGUUGUUGACACACAUUUGUGACACACACGAGUACAUUUUUAAACUCCUGUGUAAAACAGAAUUAUUGUUUUGACACAUUAACUCAAACUUAUGUCAUAGUGUGUUCAAUCAGAAAUCAGGGGAGGGCAUACCACAACAUCUCCUUUGCCGUACCAGCAUUUCACAUUUAUGGACACAAAUUGCCAUGCCAGAUAAUUCAUAGAGACAUUGGGACCUGUAUCAGUCAAUCCACUGCACUGCUGAAAUAGUAGAAAAUGUAGAAAUGCUUAAAAGUAAUCUUAAAUAUUUUCCCACCUGGUAUUUGUCUGAAUUUGUUUUAGAGCUGCACUGUUUAUGACAAUAUAGUAGAAAUAUGUUCAGUGUCAGUGUAUCUGAUAUUCCAUGACUUUGCUUUAAUCACAGAUCAAGUACAGCACCAGAUGGCUUGAUAGGUUUGGGCUCACAGACAGGGAAGGAAUGAAGAGGUUGUGGUCUUUCCUCUGAAGAUUUGCCAGAGUCACUGGUUGUCAAAACCAAUAAACACUGUCUCUAAAGGAACUACAUCAUCCAACAGAUUCAAUUCUACAAGCUCAAAUUGAAGAAGAUGAAGUUUCGAGGAGUUUGAAAAGGCAAGGGGUUUAUGCCUUACAUAUGAAGACUUGAACCACUGAGGAAAAGCUCAUUCUUUACCAGAAAAUGAGAACUGUAACUGACCUCCAUGCAGCAUGCCUUUCUGUUCUCUGCCAUCAAUAACACAGCGCAACCUGGUGCAAAGGCUGCUCUCAUCCAACGUUUCAAACAGCUGGAAAGAAAGCUACAUCAUGCCACUGUAAUGUUUCACCAACAUGUUCCAGACUGUUCCUGCAACGCAUGGUUACAUCACCCCAGACAACCCCUGCCUGCCUUAGGCCCUCCCCCUGUCAAGCAUACAGACACUGAUAUACAAUGAUGAUGAUGAUAAUGAUGAUGACAAUGAUAGCAACUAGGGCUGGUUUGCUGCUUCUUGAUUUUUAAUGAUUACUUUAAGCAAGCUUGUAUGUUUUGUUAUUCAUCAUUCAAAAUAUAUCCUAUAUCCUUAUUUAGUGCUAACCAAAAUUCAUCAUAUGUUCUGUGUGUGUUUUCAUUGUAACUGGUCAGGAUCUAAUUGAUGCUGUGUUGCUGAUCAGUUGAUUAGUCUAACUGCAACGAAGUCUAUGUUUCUUUUUCUUGAGCUGUGAACUGUCCCAUCAAUCUAAUCCAAAAAAACUUUGUUUAAACUUGCUCUUUUUGGACAACAAACACUGUUUUUGUAGAAGUUGUUGUCUCAUUGACUUUCUAAAGUCUUGUAGUAUUCAGGGUAUAGCCAGCUUUGGUGUAAUGAAUAACCUUACAAUUAACACUAACCGUAUUAUUGUAUCUAUACACCAUGUUUUUGUAAAAAGGACACAUUUGUAAAAGAGGGCUUGCUCUCUGUUUUCCAUGUGUAAACAGUGUUGUCAACUUGGCUACUUUGUCAAUAGAUUUAGCAGCUUUUCAGACCCUCUUAACGGCUAUUUCUAAAAAGCUACUAGUGACAAAUUUAGCGACUUAUUCAGACCAUCUGGGAAAAGGCAAGAAAUAUAUUCAAAUAUAUUAUAUUCUAAUUCAUUCCCAUGCAUGCUGCAGCUCUUCUGCCAACAGUGUCUCUCUUGCG